GUUUCAUGCUAAUAUCAUUUAUGAUACAAACAUUCAGCCAAGGAUUUACACACACUAACCAGUCGUAUUAAAGUUUUAAAGUUGAAAAAGAAAAUUGCUGAAGUAUUCUAUGCUGGAAUAAAAGAAAUUACAUAGCCAGUAUUGGUAUCCAUAAAGUCUAGGUUGAAUAAAGGGGGUGUUGAAAAGUUCCUGGUAUUGGGUAAAAGAAAAUACAGGAGGAUCAGUUAAUUUGAUAUUUCAAAUUGAUAAAACAGAUAUGGCUUACAAACAGAAAAUGGAGAAAAGCUAAAGUUUGCUAUUUCAACUUGAAUGAAAAUCCUUAAGACACAGAAAAUAAGAUUUCAUUAUGUUAUCACACAACACUUUAUUUGAAAAGUAAAGUAGAGGCAAUACAGCUUGUCCUGAUUACUACCCUAAUAUAUUAA